rnacentral:misc_RNA from 1 species
GAAAUGCGAUACGUAGUGUGAAUUGCAGAAUUCAGUGAAUCAUCGAAUCUUUGAACGCACAUUGCGCCCUUUGGUAUUCCAAAGGGCAUGCCUGUUCGAGCGUCAUUUGUACCCUCAAGCUUUGCUUGGUGUUGGGCGUUUUUUGUCUUCGGCUCGCCCAAAGACUCGCCUUAAAACGAUUGGCAGCCGGCCUACUGGUUUCGCAGCGCAGCACAUUUUUGCGCUUGCAAUCAGCAAAAGAGGACGGCAAUCCAUCAAGACUCCUUCUCACGUUUGACCUCGGAUCAGGUAGGGAUACCCGCUGAACUUAAGC